UACGAAGGGGGCGAGCGUUGUUCGGAAUUACUGGGCGUAAAGGGCGCGCAGGCGGCUCUGAAAGUCAGAUGUGAAAGCCCGGGCUUAACCUGGGAAUUGCAUUUGAUACUCUGGAGCUUGAGUACGGGAGAGGAGGAGUGGAAUUCCCAGUGUAGAGGUGAAAUUCGUAGAUAUUGGGAAGAACACCGGUGGCGAAGGCGGCUCUCUGGACCGUAACUGACGCUGAGCGCGAAAGCGUGGGGAGCAACAGG
rnacentral:rRNA from 1 species